UGGGGAAUAUUGCACAAUGGGCGGAAGCCUGAUGCAGCGACGCCGCGUGGGGGAUGAAGGCCUUCGGGUUGUAAACUCCUUUCGACAGGGACGAAGCUUUUGUGACGGUACCUGUAUAAGAAGCACCGGCUAACUACGUGCCAGCAGCCGCGGUAAUACGUAGGGUGCGAGCGUUGUCCGGAAUUACUGGGCGUAAAGAGCUCGUAGGUGGUUUGUCGCGUCGUCUGUGAAAUUCCGGGGCUUAACUCCGGGCGUGCAGGCGAUACGGGCUGACUUGAGUGCUGUAGGGGAGACUGGAAUUCCUGGUGUAGCGGUGAAAUGCGCAGAUAUCAGGAGGAACACCGAUGGCGAAGGCAGGUCUCUGGGCAGUAACUGACGCUGAGGAGCGAAAGCAUGGGCAGCGAACAGGAUUAGAUACCCUGGUAGUCCAUGCCGUAAACGGUGGGCGCUAGGUGUAGGGGGCUUCCACGUCUUCUGUGCCGUAGCUAACGCAUUAAGCGCCCCGCCUGGGGAGUACGGCCGCAAGGCUA
rnacentral:rRNA from 1 species